UAUCUCUGUAGAGUCUGCAUAUCAAUAAGCGGAGGAAAAGAAACUAACUAGGAUUCCCUCAGUAACGGCGAGUGAAGCGGGAAGAGCUCAAAUUUGAAAUCUUCAAGGUUUUACCUUGACGAAUUGUAGCUUAAAGAAGUGUUUUCUGUUGGUGUUUUGGUAAAAGUUCUUUGGAAUAGGACAUCAUAGAGGGUGAGAAUCCCGUAUUUGACCAUUUCUUCCAGCUGUGUGAUACACUUUCAAAGAGUCGGAUUGUUUGGGAAUGCAGUCCAAAAUGGGUGGUAAAUUUCAUCUAAAGCUAAAUAUUGGCGAGAGACCGAUAGCGAACAAGUACCGUGAGGGAAAGAUGAAAAGAACUUUGAAAAGAGAGUUAAACAGUACGUGAAAUUGUCAAAAGGGAAGCGUUUGACACCAGUGUUGUUUUCUCGAAAAUCAAUUAAAAAGUGUUGGAUUUUGUAUUGUUAAGACCUUAUCAGCUUACUGUACUUUUUUCCUGCUCUUUUUAAUGCACUUUUCGUUUAACAAGUCAACAUCAAUUUCUUUUGUUGUAAAAGAGUCAUUGGAAGGUGGCUUUCACUUCGGUGAAAGUGUUUAUAGCCUUUGGCUUCUGCAAUCGGAGAGAUUGAGGUCUGCAGCGUAAAUCCUUCGGGGUUAGAUACGUAGAUGCUAAGUUAUAGUUUUUUAUAGACAACUUGUUGACUAUAAUUAAUCAUGUAGCUUACUCGUUUGCGCUAUUUUACCUACGCUUAGGAUGUUGAUCUCUCACAGUCGAGC
rnacentral:rRNA from 1 species